UAUUGGACAAUGGGCGAAAGCCUGAUCCAGCAAUACCGCGUGUGUGAAGAAGGCCUUAGGGUUGUAAAGCACUUUCAAUUGGGAGGAAAACCUACCGGUCAAUACCCGGUAGCUUGACAUUACCUUUAGAAGAAGCACCGGCUAACUCCGUGCCAGCAGCCGCGGUAAUACGGAGGGUGCGAGCGUUAAUCGGAAUUACUGGGCGUAAAGCGUGCGUAGGCGGUUCGUUAAGUCAGAUGUGAAAGCCCUGGGCUCAACCUGGGAACUGCAUUUGAAACUGGCGGACUAGAGUUUAGUAGAGGGGAGUGGAAUUUCAGGUGUAGCGGUGAAAUGCGUAGAUAUUUGAAGGAACACCAGUGGCGAAGGCGACUCCCUGGACUAGAACUGACGCUGAGUACGAAA
rnacentral:rRNA from 1 species